GAUGAAGAACGUAGCGAAAUGCGAUAAGUAAUGCGAAUUGCAGAAUUCCAGUGAGUCAUCGAAUCUUUGAACGCACAUUGCGCCCUUUGGUAUUCCGAAGGGCAUGCCUGUUCGAGCGUCAUUAUCACCCCUCAAGCCCUCGGCUUGGUGUUGGACGGUUUGGUGGAGGCCCCCUCGGGGGCUCCUGCCCCUCCCAAAGACAAUGACGGCGGCCUCGUUGGACCCCCGGUACACUGAGUUCUUCACGGGACACGUAUCGGACACAUGGGUUUACGGGACACGGUCUGCCUCCCCUCAGGGAGAAUCUUUCUAAGGUUGACCUCGGAUCAGGUAGUGAUACCCGCUGAACUUAAGCAUAUCAAUAAGCGGAGGA
rnacentral:misc_RNA from 1 species